CGUCCAGCCCCCGCUGAAUUCGGCUAUGUUGGUCUCCCGGACGGCGAAGCCGCAAGAAGCCCAGCGGCUCUGCAGGGGUUGCGCCGGACCCCUCGGUACCCGCUGGUGCGGAGGGAGGUGUUUGCAGGGCCCGAACUCCCCCCUGCCCCGCGGAAUUUGCCCGUUCGUCGGCCCCUCCGUUACAGAUGGGUGAGGAGAGCCGACAUCGCCUCCCCCGCCGCAGCCGGAGCAGGGGAUCAGCCUGCCCCUUUCCCUCCGGGGCACGAUGGAGAAGAGCCUUAGGGCUGACGAUUACAUAAAUUGUAUGGCUCRUCCCUGAUGCUCCAUAAAUGGCCACUGGUCCCAAAUUAGUAUGUGGGUAUUAUGAUUGAAGAACACGAAGUUCUUAGUUAUAGUAUUUGUAAUGCAAUUCCACAGAAUUUAAAUAAAUUUCUUCUGGAUGAGACAGUUUAAAGACAUCUGUUGGGUUGGGUAUUUUUUUCAUCUUAUGUAACUCUGGCCUCCUGAUAUGACUGCUCAGACUUUCUUCAAAACAGCAAAGUUCCUUUCUGUUAUAGAUUCCUCUGUAUUAUUUCCAGUGCUUUUUUGAUAUGCUUGUGGCAUCUGUCUUUCUGAUAACAAGUAGGAGUAGGAACCUUAGAAGACUCUGAUCAUACUCAGCAGUAGUUGCAAGGAUACUCUGUUUGCAAGCAGCUGGUUACUAGAGGCUGAAGCCAAUGUCAUCAUUUUGUUUGUGUUAUCAUGCUGAGUCCAAACUUGGCCAUUUAAAUACAACCAGAUGUUCCUUAGCAGAGCUACUUUGAGUGCAGCAUUACASUACAACCCCAUCGGUACUGAUCCCACUCUUCUGUCUUUGYUUUURGUGCACUCCUGUUACUUUUCUCUUWAUUACUGAAUUACCCUGARAUGUUUGUACAAACCAAAUAAAC